rnacentral:rRNA from 1 species
UCGAGAAUCUUUCGCAAUGCCCGAAAGGGUGACGAAGCGACGCCGCGUGUGGGAAGAAGGCCUUCGGGUUGUAAACCACUGUCGGGAGUUAGGAAAUGCAGGUGCGUUAAUAGCGCACUUGCUUGACUAAGGCUCCAGAGGAAGCCACGGCUAACUCUGUGCCAGCAGCCGCGGUAAUACAGAGGCGGCAAGCGUUGUUCAGAAUUAUUGGGCGUAAAGAGCACGUAGGCGGCCUUGCAAGUCAGUUGUGAAAGCCUUCCGCUUAACGGAAGAACGGCAUCUGAUACUACAGGGCUUGAGUACGGGAGGGGAGAGUGGAACUUCUGGUGGAGCGGUGAAAUGCGUAGAUAUCAGAAGGAACGCCGGCGGCGAAAGCGACUCUCUGGUCCGAAACUGACGCUG